CCUCGCUCUUCUCUUCUGUAGACUAAAUAACCCGAGUUCCCUCGGCCUCUCCUCGCAAGUCAUGUGCCCCAGCCCCCUAAUCAUUUUCGUUGCCCUCUGCUGGACUCUCUCCAAUUUGUCCAUAUCCCUUCCGUAGUGGGGGGACCAAAACUGGACAGAAUGUUC